GCCCCUUUAGCUCAGUUGGUAGAGCGCGGCACUAGUACCUGUGUCCUUCACGGUCGUCAAUGCCGAGGUCGAUAGUUCAACUCUGUCAGGGGGCA
rnacentral:tRNA from 1 species